rnacentral:tRNA from 1 species
GUUUCUGUAGUGUAGUGGUUAUGACAUCUGCCCAACACGCAGAUUGCCCUGGGUUCCAAAUCCAGCGGAAAUA